rnacentral:snoRNA from 1 species
AACCCAUGGUGAGGGCACCUUCUCAAUAAGUCCUUAUAUCUCUAUCAUGCAUCAUAUAGAGUCUCUAAAUCCAUUUGCAUGAAGGAAGAGAUGCCAUUCCUCAACUU